rnacentral:rRNA from 1 species
UACAGAGGGGGCAAGCGUUAUUCGGAAUUAUUGGGCGUAAAGGGCGCGUAGGCGGCCUGGCAAGUGGAAGGUGAAAUCCCUCGGCUUAACCGAGGAACUGCCCUCCAAACUGCUUGGCUUGAGUCCGGGAGAGGUGAGUGGAAUUCCCAGUGUAGCGGUGAAAUGCGUAGAUAUUGGGAGGAACACCAGUGGCGAAGGCGGGUCUCUGGGCCGAUACUGACGCUGAGGAGCGAAAGCGUGGGGAGCGAACAGG